GGAAUUGACGGGGAGCACCACAACGGGUGGAGCUUGCGGUUUAAUUGGAUUCAACGCCGGAAAUCUUACCGGGACCGACAGCAAUAUGAAGGCCAGGCUGAAGACUUUGCCGGAUUAGCUGAGAGGUGGUGCAUGGCCGUCGUCAGUUCGUACUGUGAAGCAUCCUGUUAAGUCAGGCAACGAGCGAGACCCACGCCCACAGUUGCCAGCGUACUCUCCGGAGUGACGGGUACACUGUGGGGACCGCCGCUGCUAAAGCGGAGGAAGGAAUGGGCAACGGUAGGUCAGUAUGCCCCGAAUAUCCCGGGCUACACGCGAGCUACAAUGGUUGGUACAAUGGGUAUCUACCCCGAAAGGGGACGGGAAUCUCCUAAAACCAAUCUUAGUUCGGAUUGAGGGCUGCAACUCGCCCUCAUGAAGCUGGAAUCCGUAGUAAUCGCGUUUCAACAGAACGCGGUGAAUACGUCCCUGCUCCUU
rnacentral:rRNA from 1 species